rnacentral:rRNA from 1 species
UGCAGUCGACGCUUCUUUUUCCACCGGAGCUUGCUCCACCGGAAAAAGAGGAGUGGCGAACGGGUGAGUAACACGUGGGUAACCUGCCCAUCAGAAGGGGAUAACACUUGGAAACAGGUGCUAAUACCGUAUAACAAUCAAAACCGCAUGGUUUUGAUUUGAAAGGCGCUUUCGGGUGUCGCUGAUGGAUGGACCCGCGGUGCAUUAGCUAGUUGGUGAGGUAACGGCUCACCAAGGCCACGAUGCAUAGCCGACCUGAGAGGGUGAUCGGCCACAUUGGGACUGAGACACGGCCCAAACUCCUACGGGAGGCAGCAGUAGGGAAUCUUCGGCAAUGGACGAAAGUCUGACCGAGCAACGCCGCGUGAGUGAAGAAGGUUUUCGGAUCGUAAAACUCUGUUGUUAGAGAAGAACAAGGAUGAGAGUAACUGUUCAUCCCUUGACGGUAUCUAACCAGAAAGCCACGGCUAACUACGUGCCAGCAGCCGCGGUAAUACGUAGGUGGCAAGCGUUGUCCGGAUUUAUUGGGCGUAAAGCGAGCGCAGGCGGUUUCUUAAGUCUGAUGUGAAAGCCCCCGGCUCAACCGGGGAGGGUCAUUGGAAACUGGGAGACUUGAGUGCAGAAGAGGAGAGUGGAAUUCCAUGUGUAGCGGUGAAAUGCGUAGAUAUAUGGAGGAACACCAGUGGCGAAGGCGGCUCUCUGGUCUGUAACUGACGCUGAGGCUCGAAAGCGUGCGGAGCAAACAGGAUUAGAUACCCUGGUAGUCCACGCCGUANACGAUGAGUGCUAAGUGUUGGAGGGUUUCCGCCCUUCAGUGCUGCAGCUAACGCAUUAAGCACUCCGCCUGGGGAGNNCGACCGCAAGGUUGAAUCUCAAAGGAAUUGACGUGGUCCGCAC